UCCUCUGCGGGAGUGCUAGCUCAAGCCGAUCAGCCCUCUGUGGGAGUGCUAGCUCACGCAGUCGGCUUCUGAUGGUAGAUCUAACUUGAUCUCCUUUUUUGAUCAUCUCAAACCUUUUCGAUGUUGAAGAUGGAUUAGAGAAGGAUGCUGGAUGGUGGAGAAAAAUUAGAUGAAGGUUCUCUUCUCUUUGGUUUUUCUCUCACCCAAAAAUCUAGAACAGUUCUAAGUCUCUGACCCAAGAGGAGAACGGUCUCCUCUUUUGUUUACACC
rnacentral:lncRNA from 1 species